UCGAGCGGAUGAGGGAGCUUGCUCCUGGAUUCAGCGGCGGACGGGUGAGUAAUGCCUAGGAAUCUGCCUGGUAGUGGGGGAUAACGUCCGGAAACGGGCGCUAAUACCGCAUACGUCCUGAGGGAGAAAGUGGGGGAUCUUCGGACCUCACGCUAUCAGAUGAGCCUAGGUCGGAUUAGCUAGUUGGUGGGGUAAAGGCCUACCAAGGCGACGAUCCGUAACUGGUCUGAGAGGAUGAUCAGUCACACUGGAACUGAGACACGGUCCAGACUCCUACGGGAGGCAGCAGUGGGGAAUAUUGGACAAUGGGCGAAAGCCUGAUCCAGCCAUGCCGCGUGUGUGAAGAAGGUCUUCGGAUUGUAAAGCACUUU
rnacentral:rRNA from 1 species